UCUGCUUGCACGCCGUGGAGAUGCUGGCCAGCACGAUGGUCAUCUCGCCGUCGAUGGUCCCGGCCUGCUCCUGCUUCAGCAGCCACGUCGUCAGCGUGGUGAUCUCGUAGCUGCUCUUCUUGCUAGCCUCCGUCGCGGCGGGCGCCGAGGCCGUGUCGACGGCCGCCAUGCACCGCACGCUCGGGGCCGACGACCCACCGGCGAGCCUGCCGGGCUGCCUCCGGAAGGAGAGGCCGCAUUGGAGCGAGGCCGCCGCCUGCUGGCGGGAGAGCAGGAGCAGGUGGGAGGAUGUCGUGGCUGCGGCGGCCAUCGCUGCUGCUGCUUGGUUGCUUGCUCUGCUCGCG
rnacentral:misc_RNA from 1 species